rnacentral:rRNA from 1 species
UGCAACUCGACUACAUGAAGCUGGAAUCGCUAGUAAUCGCAGAUCAGAAUGCUGCGGUGAAUACGUUCCCGGGUCUUGUACACACCGCCCGUCACACCAUGGGAGUCGGAAAUGCCCGAAGCCGGUGACCAAACCAAUAAGGAAGGAGCCGUCGAAGGCAGGUCUGAUAACUGGGGUGAAGUCGUAACAAGGUAUC